rnacentral:rRNA from 1 species
UGGGGAAUCUUGCGCAAUGGGCGAAAGCCUGACGCAGCAACGCCGCGUGAGUGAUGAAGGUCUUCGGAUCGUAAAGCUCUGUCGGCAGGAAAGACGGGGUGUUUGGCCAAUAUCCAAGCACCCUGACGGUACCUGCAAAGGAAGCACCGGCUAACUCUGUGCCAGCAGCCGCGGUAAGACAGAGGGUGCAAGCGUUGUUCGGAAUUAUUGGGCGUAAAGGGCGCGUAGGCGGCGCCGUAAGUCACGUGUGAAAUCCCAGGGCUUAACCCUGGAAGUGCGCGUGAUACUGCGGUGCUAGAGUCCCGGAGAGGGUGGUGGAAUUCCCAGUGUAGAGGUGAAAUUCGUAGAUAUUGGGAGGAAUACCGGUGGCGAAGGCGACCACCUGGACGGUGACUGACGCUGAGGCGCGAAAGCGUGGGGAGCAAACAGGAUUAGAUACCCUGGUAGUCCACGCCGUAAACGAUGGGUACUAGGUGUUGUGGGUAUUGACCCCCGCAGUGCCGACG